rnacentral:misc_RNA from 1 species
GAUGAAGAACGUAGCGAAAUGCGAUACGUAAUGUGAAUUGCAAAUUCAGUGAAUCAUCGAGUCUUUGAACGCACAUUGCGCCCGCCAGUAUUCUGGCGGGCAUGCCUGUCUGAGCGUCAUUUCAACCCUCAUGCCCCUAGGGCGUGGUGUUGGGGAUCGGCCAAAGCCCGCGAGGGACGGCCGGCCCCUAAAUCUAGUGGCGGACCCGUCGUGGCCUCCUCUGCGAAGUAGUGAUAUUCCGCAUCGGAGAGCGAUGAGCCCCUGCCGUUAAACCCCCAACUUUCCAAGGUUGACCUCAGAUCAGGUAGGAAUACCCGCUGAACUUAAGCAUAUCAAUAAGCGGAGGA